AUUGAACGCUAGCGGGAUGCCUUACACAUGCAAGUCGAACGGCAGCACGGACUUCGGUCUGGUGGCGAGUGGCGAACGGGUGAGUAAUGUAUCGGAACGUGCCCAGUAGCGGGGGAUAACUACGCGAAAGCGUAGCUAAUACCGCAUACGCCCUACGGGGGAAAGCAGGGGAUCGCAAGACCUUGCACUAUUGGAGCGGCCGAUAUCGGAUUAGCUAGUUGGUGGGGUAACGGCUCACCAAGGCGACGAUCCGUAGCUGGUUUGAGAGGACGACCAGCCACACUGGGACUGAGACACGGCCCAGACUCCUACGGGAGGCAGCAGUGGGGAAUUUUGGACAAUGGGGGAAACCCUGAUCCAGCCAUCCCGCGUGUGCGAUGAAGGCCUUCGGGUUGUAAAGCACUUUUGGCAGGAAAGAAACGUCAUGGGUUAAUACCCCGUGAAACUGACGGUACCUGCAGAAUAAGCACCGGCUAACUACGUG
rnacentral:rRNA from 1 species